GACGAACGCUGGCGGCGUGCUUAACACAUGCAAGUCGAACGGAAAGGCCCUGCUUUUGUGGGGUGCUCGAGUGGCGAACGGGUGAGUAACACGUGAGUAACCUGCCCUUGACUUUGGGAUAACUUCAGGAAACUGGGGCUAAUACCGGAUCGGAGCUCCUGCUGCAUGGUGGGGGUUGGAAAGUUUCGGCGGUUGGGGCUGGACUCGCGGCUUAUCAGCUUGUUGGUGGGGUAGUGGCUUACCAAGGCUUUGACGGGUAGCCGGCCUGAGAGGGUGACCGGCCACAUUGGGACUGAGAUACGGCCCAGACUCCUACGGGAGGCAGCAGUGGGGAAUAUUGCACAAUGGGCGGAAGCCUGAUGCAGCAACGCCGCGUGCGGGAUGACGGCCUUCGGGUUGUAAACCGCUUUCGCCUGUGACGAAGCGUGAGUGACGGUAAUGGGUAAAGAAGCACCGGCUAACUACGUG
rnacentral:rRNA from 1 species